rnacentral:rRNA from 1 species
GUGGAUUAGAUACCCUGGUAGUCCACACAGUAAACGAUGGAUACUCGCUGCCGGCGAUACAAUGUCGGUGGCUUAGCGAAAGCGUUAAGUAUCCCACCUGGGGAGUACGCCGGCAACGGUGAAACUCAAAGGAAUUGACGGGGGCCCGCACAAGCGGAGGAACAUGUGGUUUAAUUCGAUGAUACGCGAGGAACCUUACCCAGGCUCGAACGGCAAGUUGAAGGUCGGUGGAGACACCUUCCGUCUUCGGACAAUUUGUCGAGGUGCUGCACGGUUGUCGACAACU